rnacentral:rRNA from 1 species
GGUUAAGUUAGAAAGGGCGCACGGUGGAUGCCUUGGCACUAGGAGCCGAUGAAGGACGGGACGAACACCGAUAUGCUUCGGGGAGCUGUAAGCAAGCUUUGAUCCGGAGAUUUCCGAAUGGGGAAACCCACCACUCGUAAUGGAGUGGUAUCCAUAUCUGAAUACAUAGGAUAUGAGAAGGCAGACCCGGGGAACUGAAACAUCUAAGUACCCGGAGGAAGAGAAAGCAAAUGCGAUUCCCUGAGUAGCGGCGAGCGAAACGGGACCAGCCCAAACCAAGAGGCUUGCCUCUUGGGGUUGUAGGACACUCUGUACGGAGUUACAAAGGAACGAGGUAGAUGAAGAGGUCUGGAAAGGCCCGCCAUAGAAGGUAACAGCCCUGUAGUCAAAACUUCGUUCUCUCCUGAGUGGAUCCUGAGUACGGCGGAACACGUGAAAUUCCGUCGGAAUCCGGGAGGACCAUCUCCCAAGGCUAAAUACUCCCUAGUGACCGAUAGUGAACCAGUACCGUGAGGGAAAGGUGAAAAGCACCCCGGAAGGGGAGUGAAAGAGAUCCUGAAACCGUGUGCCUACAAGUAGUCAGAGCCCGUUAACGGGUGAUGGCGUGCCUUUUGUAGAAUGAACCGGCGAGUUACGAUCCCGUGCAAGGUUAAGCAGAAGAUGCGGAGCCGCAGCGAAAGCGAGUCUGAAUAGGGCGAAUUGAGUACGUGGUCGUAGACCCGAAACCAGGUGAUCUACCCAUGUCCAGGGUGAAGUUCAGGUAACACUGAAUGGAGGCCCGAACCCACGCACGUUGAAAAGUGCGGGGAUGAGGUGUGGGUAGGGUGAAAUGCCAAUCGAACCUGGAGAUAGCUGGUUCUCUCCGAAAUAGCUUUAGGGCUAGCCUCAAGGUAAGAGUCUCGGAGGUAGAGCACUGAUUGGACUAGGGGCCCCUACCGGGUUACCGAAUUCAGUCAAACUCCGAAUGCCGAUGACUUAUCCUUGGGAGUCAGACUGCGAGUGAUAAGAUCCGUAGUCGAAAGGGAAACAGCCCAGACCGCCAGCUAAGGUCCCAAAGUAUACGUUAAGUGGAAAAGGAUGUGGAGUUGCUUAGACAACCAGGAUGUUGGCUUAGAAGCAGCCACCAUUUAAAGAGUGCGUAAUAGCUCACUGGUCGAGUGACUCUGCGCCGAAAAUGUACCGGGGCUAAACGUAUCACCGAAGCUGCGGACUGUUCUUCGAACAGUGGUAGGAGAGCGUUCUAAGGGCUGUGAAGCAAGACCGGAAGGACUUGUGGAGCGCUUAGAAGUGAGAAUGCCGGUAUGAGUAGCGAAAGAGGGGUGAGAAUCCCCUCCACCGAAUGCCUAAGGUUUCCUGAGGAAGGCUCGUCCGCUCAGGGUUAGUCGGGACCUAAGCCGAGGCCGAAAGGCGUAGGCGAUGGAUAACAGGUUGAUAUUCCUGUACCACCUCCUCACCAUUUGAGCAAUGGGGGGACGCAGGAGGAUAGGGUAAGCGCGGUAUUGGAUAUCCGCGUCCAAGCAGUUAGGCUGGGAAAUAGGCAAAUCCGUUUCCCGUGAAGGCUGAGCUGUGAUGGCGAGCGAAUUAUAGUAGCGAAGUUCCUGAUUCCACACUGCCAAGAAAAGCCUCUAGCGAGGUGAGAGGUGCCCGUACCGCAAACCGACACAGGUAGGCGAGGAGAGAAUCCUAAGGUGAUCGAGAGAACUCUCGUUAAGGAACUCGGCAAAAUGACCCCGUAACUUCGGGAGAAGGGGUGCUCUGUUAGGGUGCAAGCCCGAGAGAGCCGCAGUGAAUAGGCCCAGGCGACUGUUUAGCAAAAACACAGGUCUCUGCGAAGCCGUAAGGCGAAGUAUAGGGGCUGACGCCUGCCCGGUGCUGGAAGGUUAAGAGGAGCGCUUAGCGUAAGCGAAGGUGCGAAUUGAAGCCCCAGUAAACGGCGGCCGUAACUAUAACGGUCCUAAGGUAGCGAAAUUCCUUGUCGGGUAAGUUCCGACCCGCACGAAAGGCGCAACGAUCUGGGCACUGUCUCAACGAGAGACUCGGUGAAAUUAUAGUACCUGUGAAGAUGCAGGUUACCCGCGACAGGACGGAAAGACCCCGUGGAGCUUUACUGCAGCCUGAUAUUGAAUGUUGGUACAGCUUGUACAGGAUAGGUAGGAGCCUUGGAAACCGGAGCGCCAGCUUCGGUGGAGGCAUCGGUGGGAUACUACCCUGGCUGUAUUGACCUUCUAACCCGCCGCCCUUAUCGGGCGGGGAGACAGUGUCAGGUGGGCAGUUUGACUGGGGCGGUCGCCUCCUAAAAGGUAACGGAGGCGCCCAAAGGUUCCCUCAGAAUGGUUGGAAAUCAUUCGCAGAGUGUAAAGGCACAAGGGAGCUUGACUGCGAGACCUACAAGUCGAGCAGGGACGAAAGUCGGGCUUAGUGAUCCGGUGGUUCCGCAUGGAAGGGCCAUCGCUCAACGGAUAAAAGCUACCCCGGGGAUAACAGGCUUAUCUCCCCCAAGAGUCCACAUCGACGGGGAGGUUUGGCACCUCGAUGUCGGCUCAUCGCAUCCUGGGGCUGUAGUCGGUCCCAAGGGUUGGGCUGUUCGCCCAUUAAAGCGGUACGCGAGCUGGGUUCAGAACGUCGUGAGACAGUUCGGUCCCUAUCCGUCGCGGGCGCAGGAAAUUUGAGAGGAGCUGUCCUUAGUACGAGAGGACCGGGAUGGACGCACCGCUGGUGUACCAGUUGUUCUGCCAAGGGCAUCGCUGGGUAGCUAUGUGCGGACGGGAUAAGUGCUGAAAGCAUCUAAGCAUGAAGCCCCCCUCAAGAUGAGAUUUCCCAUUCCGCAAGGAAGUAAGAUCCCUGAAAGAUGAUCAGGUUGAUAGGUCUGAGGUGGAAGUGUGGCGACACAUGGAGCUGACAGAUACUAAUCGAUCGAGGACUUAACCAA